UGGGGAAUUUUGGACAAUGGGCGCAAGCCUGAUCCAGCAAUGCCGCGUGCAGGAUGAAGGCCUUCGGGUUGUAAACNGCUUUUGUACGGAACGAAAAGCCUCUCUCUAAUACAGGGGGGUGAUGACGGUACCGUAAGAAUAAGCACCGGCUAACUACGUGCCAGCAGCCGCGGUAAUACGUAGGGUGCAAGCGUUAAUCGGAAUUACUGGGCGUAAAGCGUGCGCAGGCGGUUUUGUAAGACAGUGGUGAAAUCCCCGGGCUCAACCUGGGAACUGCCAUUGUGACUGCAAGGCUGGAGUGCGGCAGAGGGGGGAUGGAAAUUCCGCGUGUAGCAGUGAAAUGCGUAGAUAUGCGGAGGAACACCGAUGGCGAAGGCAAUCCCCUGGGCCUGCACUGACGCUCAUGCACGAAAGCGUGGGGAGCAAAACAGGAUUAGAUACCCUGGUAGUCCACGCCCUAAAACGAUGUCAACUGGUUGUUGGGGAUUUAUUCCUUCAGUAACGAAGCUAACGCGU
rnacentral:rRNA from 1 species